UUACACCAGUACUCUCCCGCCUGCACAGGGUGCCAAUUCGCUUCCAAACCCAAUUCAACUUCUUGGCUUUGACUUUUAAGGCCCUAAAUGUCUUCUUGCCUACCUGGAUUUUGAGGUCAUCCUUUGAAGCCUUUCUUCAUACUGUCUCACACACACACUCAAAAGGAAGGAAACAGGAAAAAUGAAGAGGGAAAUGGAAGCAGAAUCCUACAUGCUUAGUCACGCAGCCAAUUAUGAAACCACGAUGCACCAUGUGUGAGAGAAGAAAUUGAAGUUUUUCUGCUUCGACAAAUGAAGAAAAAUGGUGCAGACAACACUAACAGUACCUAUGAACAGCUCUACCUGGCAAUACCUUCUAAUUCAUCUUGGGGAGCAAUUUAAGUCAGAUUCCACAUUGGAUGACAUGCUGCUAUCCUUACUAAUUAAAGUUGAAAUGAACUCAGCCAUUCGUUACAGUUAAUUUC
rnacentral:lncRNA from 1 species